UCCCUCAUAGCUCAGUUGGUAAAGAAUCGGCCUGCAGUGCAGAACACCCAGGUUUGAUUCCUGGGUAGGGAA
rnacentral:tRNA from 1 species